UCCCAGGCUAGGAGGUCAAAUGGAGCUGCAGCCGCUGCCCUACACCACAGCCACAGUGACUCCAGAUUGGAGCUGAGUCUGUGACACAGCUCACUGCAACGCCAGGAUCCCUGACCCACUGAGUAAGGCCAGGGAUAGAACCUGCAUCCUCAUGGAUACUAGUCAGGUUGGUUACUGCUGAGCCAUGAUGGGAAUGCCCACGGUUUGUUUUUUUUGGCGGGGGUUGGGGGGUGUGUGCCCAUGGCUUGUUGAAGUUCUCAGGCUAGGGGUCGAAUAGGAGCCAUAGACACCGGCCCACACCAGAGCCACAGCAACUCCGGAUCAGAGCUGAGUCUGCAACCUACACCAUAGCUCAUAGCAACGCCAGAUCCUUAACCCACUGAGCAAGGCCAGGGUUCAAACCUGCAACCUCAUGGUUCCUAGUCAGAUUCAUUAACCACUGAGCCACAACAGGAACUCCCAUGUUGUUUCAUUCUUGUUGUACCUGUUCUGCUUAUAUCUGGAAUGUUUUUCUUCUACCUAGUAAACUUCUUCCUUCCUCUCUACCCUAGGCAAAGGAGUGUAGUACCUUUUUUUUUUUUUUUUUAAAAGUACUUGUUGAAUUUUUUCUUGAGCAUCAGAGGACAAGAACCAUUUAAUUUAUGGCAUCCCUAGUACAUAGCACAGUGCUUGGCACUUAGUAGCUACUCUGCAGAACUGAAUGAAAAUAAUAAGAAAAAAUUGUUCAGGCCCUCCCCUACCAAGCCAAAGCAGUCAUGGUCCUGAGUGAUUUAUGGAAAUCUACUGAAGAUCAUUUACUUGUGACUGAUAGAGUUUAGUUUUUUCCUUUUCCUUUUUUACGGUCACACCUGCACCAUAGGGAAGUUCCCAGGCGCAGGGUCAAAGCAGAGCUUCAGCUACCAGCCUACACCACAGCCACAGUAUGGCGGGAUCUGAACUGUGUCUGUGGCCUGUACCGCAACUCAUGGCAAUGCCAGAUCCCCUACCCACUAAGCAAGGCCAGGGAUUGAAUCUUCAUCCUCAUGAAUACAAGUCAGGCCUGGUACUGCUGAGCCACAACAGGGACCUCCCCUAUUAUGUCUUAUAGUAUGGAUGUACUCUACAUAACUUAUUCAUUUGUUUUCCUGUGGAUAUUUAGGCAUUUUCUAGAUUUUUUCCCCUACAAACAGUGCUGUAUAUAGUAAAAGUCCCUGUGCAUGUUACCUUCUUUCCUGAUGCUUUUAUUUUUCUACAGAGUAGACUCUCCAAGGUGGGAUUUCUGAGUUAAAGGAAUUAUAUUUUAAAUGUUAUUAUUGCUGGAUUACUCUCUAAGAAGGUUGUUGUAAUUUCUACCUCCACUAGCAGUCGGAUCUCCAUAACAUCACAUCAUUAGAUGUAAUUACUUAAUUUAGUUUUUGCUGGUCUACUAGUUGAUAAGAGGUUUCUCAGUUUUGUCUUAAUUUUAAUUUCCCUGAGUAUUGCUGGAGCUAGCCUCUUUUGAUAUGUUUUUUGACCAUUUGGAUUUCCUUUCCUGAGAAUUGUUCAUGUUUUUGGUUCAUUUUUCUUUUAUGUUGUUUUUUUCCUUAUUUUGUAGGAACAUGUUAUGGUAUCUUACUUCUUACACAUGUAUUUUUUAAUCUGGAAUUUACUUUUAUAUGGGAUGAAGUAGGGGGUCUUAAAUGGUUUUCCUUUGUGUAGAGAGCCAGCUAUGUCCAGAGUAAAUAAAUGUCCUUUCCUCAAUGAAUUAAAUGCUGCUUUAUCAUACGUUAAGUUCAUAUAUGUGUUCGCUCUAUUUCUGGAUGUUCUGUUUUACUCUUCCUGUAUCAUUAUUUUACUGUUUUUUUGAGUAUAAUAGCUUUAUUGAAAGUUACACUCUGUUAAGAACAGCUCCUGUCACUGUACUUUUCCAUUUUUUUUGCCUUUUUUUUUUUCUUUUUCUUUUUAGGUCCGCACCUGCGGCAUAUGGAGGUUACCAGGCUGUGGGUCAAAUUGGAGCUGCAGCUGCUGGCCUACGCCUCAGUAACACCAGAUUCACAACCCACUGAGUGAGGCCAGGGAUGGAACCCUUAUCCUCAUGGCUACCAGUUGGGUUCGUCACCACUGAGCCACAUGCGAACUCCUUGACUGUUCUUAAACAUUCUUAUAUCUGUAUUGUUUGAAAACAAUUCUGUUGACUUCAGAAAACCUUAAAGAAGCCCAGUGUUUGGAAUGGCACUAUAUUCAUAUGUUAAUGUUGGCAGGCCUGACUUUCUUUUUCUUUUUUGGUCUUUUUGCCAUUUCUUGG
rnacentral:lncRNA from 1 species